CUUAUCAGCGCCAACCCGCGACUACGUCUCUCUGUUCAGGCUUAUCCGAUUCAAAAUACUGCCAUCUUUCCCAUAAAACAACACUACUCUUUCGUGAGAGAGACCAUGCGGCCUCAUUUCUCAAGUGAAAAUGAGGACAGCCAAAGAAGGUAAGAGAAGCUGGAACCGGAGUCCCCCAUCGUCGCCCUUCAGGGACAGGACACCAACCACCCUUUCCUCCCCUGGGCUCGAUCCAACCUCAACGGGGUCUAGUCCAAAUAAAUCCAGACUCACUCCUUCCACCUCUCUCCUAGACUGCGAACUUGUCACCGAAGAUGCCACCACUCUGUUCGAAGACCUCUGAAUCUCCCCGGAAUCCAACCCUCGGAGCUUCCCCUAUAGUGUGAAGCAGCAGUACUAGGACAAGUCCGAGAAGGUUCGAGGCCGAGACCCGGAUCUUUGGCGCCGAGAUGCCAUCGGCAACAUCGUCUUUUGGAAGCUCGUGGGUUGCCCUGGAUGUCUCUGUCACGAUUAUGACCACAUUUUGCCUUACUCUAAGAUUUGAAGUACUAGAUGAGGAACCGGGUGAUGAUGAUGAUGGUGGCGGCCAACGGUAACUAUCUUUUAUUGACUCUCAUUUGACUGCUGGAUUUUAACUUCUGGUCUAAGGGUACAAUGAAGUACAAGCUGUCCAUGUCGAAUAUUAUUCCUUUCCCCAAGAGAAAUGACCCUUCUACUGCCCAGGAUUUCCCU